rnacentral:rRNA from 1 species
UUUGAUCGUGGCUCAGAUUGAACGCUGGCGGCAUGCUUUACUCAUGCAAGUCAAACGGCAGCACGGGAGCUUGCUCCUGGUGGCGAGUGGCGAACGGGUGAGUAACGCAUCGGAAUGUACCGUGUAGUGGGGGAUAGCUCGGCGAAAGCCGGAUUAAUACCGCAUACGACCUGAGGGUGAAAGUGGGGGACCGCGAGGCCUCACGCUAUACGAGCAGCCGAUGUCUGAUUAGCUAGUUGGUGAGGUAAGAGCUCACCAAGGCGACGAUCAGUAGCGGGUCUGAGAGGAUGAUCCGCCACACUGGGACUGAAACACGGCCCAGACUCCUACGGGAGGCAGCAGUGGGGAAUUUUGGACAAUGGGCGCAAGCCUGAUCCAGCCAUGCCGCGUGUCUGAAGAAGGCCUUCGGGUUGUAAAGGACUUUUGUUCGGGAGGAAAUCCCGCUGGUUAAUACCUGGCGGGGAUGACAGUACCGGAAGAAUAAUCACCGGCUAACUACGUGCCAGCAGCCGCGGUAAUACGUAGGGUGCAAGCGUUAAUCGGAAUUACUGGGCGUAAAGCGUGCGCAGGCGGUUUUGCAAGUCUGAUGUGAAAGCCCCGGGCUCAACCUGGGAACGGCAUUGGAGACUGCAAGACUAGAGUGCGUCAGAGGGGGGUAGAAUUCCGCGUGUAGCAGUGAAAUGCGUAGAGAUGCGGAGGAAUACCGAUGGCGAAGGCAGCCCCUUGGGAUGACACUGACGCUCAUGCACGAAAGCGUGGGGAGCAAACAGGAUUAGAUACCCUGGUAGUCCACGCCCUAAACGAUGUCAACUAGCUGUUGGGGGUUUGAAUCCUUGGUAGUGUAGCUAACGCGUGAAGUUGACCGCCUGGGGAGUACGGCCGCAAGGUUAAAACUCAAAGGAAUUGACGGGGACCCGCACAAGCGGUGGAUGAUGUGGAUUAAUUCGAUGCAACGCGAAAAACCUUACCUGCUCUUGACAUGUACGGAACUUGCCAGAGAUGGCUUGGUGCCCGAAAGGGAGCCGUAACACAGGUGUUGCAUGGCUGUCGUCAGCUCGUGUUGUGAGAUGUUGGGUUAAGUCCCGCAACGAGCGCAACCCUUGUCAUUAGUUGCCAUCAUUUAGUUGGGCACUCUAAUGAGACUGCCGGUGACAAACCGGAGGAAGGUGGGGAUGACGUCAAGUCCUCAUGGCCUUUAUGAGCAGGGUUUCACACGUCAUACAAUGGUCGGUACAGAGGGUCGGGAAGCCGCGAGGUGGAUCCAAUAUCAUAAAACCCAUCGUAGUCCGGAUCGCACUUUGCAACUCGAGUGCCAGAAGUCGGAAUCGCUAGUAAUCGCAGAUCAGCAUGAGGC